rnacentral:lncRNA from 1 species
AAUUUGAAAAGCUUAGAUUGAAUGGUUCAUGAGUAAAUGCAACAACGUGAAUGGAAACGCCAUUUUACGAUCUUUCAAGAACCAUAACUCCUGAACGGUAAAAGUCAAAAUCGUCAUUUUUGAACUUGACCUCUAUUUUGUCAUCAGUAACAACAUAUAAAAAUUUCAAAAGCUUUGGUUGAAUGGUUCAUGAGAAAAUGCACGGACACGACUCGAAACACCAUUUUUCAAUCUUUCAAGAACCAUAACUCCUGAACGGUAACAAUCAAAAUCGCCAUUAUUGAACUUGACCUUCAUUUAGUUGUCAGUAACAACAUAUUAAAAUUUUAAAAGCUUUGGUUGAACGGUUCCUGAGUUAAUGCACGGACACGACUGGAAACUCCAUUUUUCAAUCUUUCAAGAACCAUAACUCCUGAACGGUAAAAGUCAAACUCGCCAUUAUUGAACUUGACCUUCAUUUAGUUGUCAGUAACAACAUAUUAAAAUUUUAAAAGCUUUGGUUGAACGGUUCAUGAGUUAAUGCACGAACACGACUGGAAACUCCAUUUUUCAAUCUUUCAAGAACCAUAACUCCUGAACGGUAAAAGUCAAAAUCGCCAUUAUUGAACUUGACCUUCAUUUAGUUGUCAGUAACAACAUAUUAAAAUUUUAAAAGCUUCGGUUGAACGGUUCAUGAGUUAAUGCACGGACAACAUUUGAUUCCCGACCGACCGCCCACCCG